GACGAACGCUGGCGGCGUGCCUAACACAUGCAAGUCGAGCGGGGUCCAUCCGGUAGCAAUACUGGGGAAGACCUAGCGGCGAACGGGUGAGUAACACGUGAGAAACCUGCCCCGAAGUCUGGGAUAACCCGAGGAAACUCGAGCUAAUACCGGACGCCUCCUUCUGAUCGCAUGGUCGGAUGACGAAAGAUUUAUCGCUUCGGGAGGGUCUCGCGGCCUAUCAGCUAGUUGGCGGGUAACGGCCCACCAAGGCGUCGACGGGUAGCUGGUCUGAGAGGACGAUCAGCCACACUGGGACUGAGACACGGCCCAGACUCCUACGGGAGGCAGCAGUGGGGAAUAUUGCGCAAUGGGCGAAAGCCUGACGCAGCAACGCCGCGUGCGGGAUGAAGGCC
rnacentral:rRNA from 1 species